ACAGAAAGUCAAGGCUUUACCAGCUGCUAGUCUGUAUCCUGCCAACCGCCUGAUCUAAAUUCAGUAAAGGAUAAACCUCCUGCCAUAGCCAAAUGACCUGGGCAAACAACCCAGCUUGCCCUUGAUUUGCUCUUUUUGGUCUUUGAGACAGGCUGUUAUGUAGUCCAGGCUGGUCUGGUACUCGCUAGGUAGACAAGAAUGGCUUCAAACUCAAAAUAAUCUGUCUGCCUUUCUCAGCUUCCAAGUGCUGGGGUUGAAGAUACGUUCACCACACUCAACUUCUGCUUUGGCUUUUGAUACUUCAGCUCCGCUGCUCCCACCCAUUCCCUCCUGACAUGACUUUAGGAGCAAUUCUCCCUGUUCAUUUAACACAACUUAGAAAAAAGAAAAUGAUACACAACUACAGAAUCCCGGAUACAGGUAGAGGAACCAAGGUGGGGAAAGAAGCCCGAGCAGACCAUGAGCUUGUCUGAGUUUGCCCUGUAAAGGACUGUCCACUGGGAAGAGCAGUCCCUGUCGAACUGCUUGCUCACACUGGGUGAGCUGACAGGCUGGAGUCAUGCCUCGAGCUUUGGAAUCCGGAUGCUAGCACAAAUAAGUCUGUGCGUCUGUCUGACUGCAGUUUGCUCAUCCGAAAGGGGAGAUAACAUAAGCCUUUGGAAGAGGUAUUUUAAGCUUCCAGGUAAUUAAUUCUUACAAAAACCCUUUGUGCAAUAAUAGCACCAUGCUGAGAGCACCUGAGUGCUUGCAGCUACAAAGGAAGAAGCUGCUGGAAAAACCAUAGCGGGACAGCACCUGGAAAGCCUCGCUGAGGUUAAAUUACCAUGUUCCGUUAAUGACUUUCAACGUUACAAAUUUUUCCAGACUGAUAGUCAUCGUGCACAGCUGUGUGACUUUCCCCAGAGAGAACGUAAGGAAUUCAACAGUAAGAUUUAUAUGGGAGAAGGAAUAGUAUUUACUUCAGUUCCACAUGAAAAACCUAACUUCCCUAAUUUGGUCAACUGAGUGGACAAAAUGUGACUACUAUUAGGUGCAUAUACAUCGCGGUAAAGUAACUACCCGAGUCUUGCAUUUAUACCUGGCAUUACAUAGGCAGCUGAGAGAGUCAGCCAAGGUUCUGUGUGAAGGACCCUGGAUUUGGUCAAAAUUCUGGAAUUGGAGGUAUGGCUUACCCUAGUAGCCAGCCACGUACAGUGUGUGCAAAAUGCCACCUGAGAACCCAGUACCUUCUUUGGUAAACAUCUGGUUUUAGCCUGAAGUUACCUUUCAGGGUUUAAAGUGGCAUUCUGCUGGUGUAUUUUACAUGCCAGGGAUUUGGGUUUAAAGUGGCAUUCUGCUGGUGUAUUUUACAUGCCAGGGAUUUAUCCCAAGCCUGCAAGGCUUUCAUUGAAGAAAUUCAUACAAUAUUAUAAGGGACUCAAAUGACUAUGCAUAUAACCACUCACAGUAUCAAGCCUCUACGACAUAUUAGCCAUCGUGGAAGACCCUUUGGAAAAGCUAGAUCUACACAAAAAUAAACAAAAAUUCUCUCCCUGACAUGCAUAUAAACACAGGAGCAAAAGGCUGGUGUGGGAAACGCUGAAGUCACCGAGGGCGACAGUCACUCAGAGGUCCACUUGACGCCAAGCAGACCCUUAAGUGAGUCCUCGGCACGCUUAAAAUAGCUUCCUCUCCCUUUCGGAGCUCUUUUCCCAGCUGAACUCCCUUCCCUUGCUUUCUGCUCGGCAAACUCAUUGAGUGGAUGCCAUGAUCACGUCAGCUGAAGAGGACGCUAAUCAGCACAUUUGGAAGUGGGGAAGUAUGAGUUAAUGGCGCUUGACGGGAAGCUCCUUAAGCAGGAAGGUAAACAACUCAAAACAGCUUCAGGAAGUUCCUGAAACUGAGCAAGCGACAAAAACGGAGAUUGCCCCUCAGACAGAGGGAAACUGAGCUGCAAAAGACUCUGAGACCAGACCAACUGCCUGGAAGAUGCAGAAACCAGACGAGCUGCUGGGAAGAGGUGUAGACCAGAGUCACUUGGAAAGGACACUGUCCAACCUGUUGAGAUUCCUGCAGGCUGUGCAGUGAGCUCCAGGUUCCCAGCUUUGUGAGCUGUCACCCAUGCUAGGGUGGGCCUUGAUGAUGCAGCUGCCUUUGAGUAAUUGCUGAUCCUGUAAGUAACCCGAACGAAACUUGGUUCAUCACGUUGGACUUGGUGGUAUCCAUACUUGGAUCUCUUGUGGGAUCCCUAUCUAGGAUGAGUAGAUGUAUGUGUUGCAUUCCCCCCCCUACCAUCAGGAAGUUUUGUCACACAACAGAUAUGCAGAACAGGAAACCAGAAACCAUGGAGGAAAAGAGAAAUACUAUGCCUCUGUGUAAUCUUUAGUGUAUGAAAAAGCCAAAAUCAACUAGGAAAGAUGGACUAAAAAUGACUUUUCCAUAUAUAUUAUGGAAAUGAAAGGCCUUUGAAUAUAAAAGAAAAAUGGAAUGCUCAGGUGAAUAAAGUACGACUCCUUUCACUAGCAAUCAGUGAGUGUACAUCAAUUUAAAACACUAAGCACUCAGUGGAUGAAAACUUCCACACAGCAAUAUCUAUCACACAGUGCUGGUGAGGAUCUGGAGAAAUCAAUGAUCCUGUGUGUUGCUGAUAAGAAGAAUUAUUUCAUUUGGAGAAAAUUACACUGCAACAUCUAUUAAAACUUAAAUUAUAUCUA